AGUGGCGGACGGGUGAGUAACGCGUGGGUAACCUGCCUCAUACAGGGGGAUAACAGUUAGAAAUGACUGCUAACACCGCAUAAUAUAGCGAAACCGCAUGAUUUUUGCUAUCAAAUAUUUAUAGGUAUGAGAUGGGCCCGCGUCUGAUUAGCUAGUUGGUGGGGUAAAAGCCUACCAAGGCGACGAUCAGUAGCCGGCUUGAGAGAGUGACCGGCCACAUUGGGACUGAGACACGGCCCAAACUCCACGGGAGGCAGCAGUGGGGAAUAUUGGACAAUGGGGGAAACCCUGAUCCAGCCGACGCCGCGUGAGUGAAGAAGUAUUUCGGUAUGUAAAGCUCUAUCAGCAGGGAAGAUAAUGACAGUACCUGACUAAGAAGCCCCGGCUAACUACGUGCCAGCCGCCGC
rnacentral:rRNA from 1 species